GAUGAACGCUGGCGGCGUGCCUAAUACAUGCAAGUCGAGCGAACGGACGAGAAGCUUGCUUCUCUGAUGUUAGCGGCGGACGGGUGAGUAACACGUGGAUAACCUACCUAUAAGACUGGGAUAACUUCGGGAAACCGGAGCUAAUACCGGAUAAUAUUUUGAACCGCAUGGUUCAAAAGUGAAAGACGGUCUUGCUGUCACUUAUAGAUGGAUCCGCGCUGCAUUAGCUAGUUGGUAAGGUAACGGCUUACCAAGGCAACGAUGCAUAGCCGACCUGAGAGGGUGAUCGGCCACACUGGACCUGGGACACGGUCCAUACUCCUACGGGAGGCAGCAGUAGGGAAUCUUCCGCAAUGGGCGAAAGCCUGACGGAGCAACGCCGCGUGAGUGAUGAAGGUCUUCGGAUCGUAAAACUCUGUUAUUAGGGAAGAACAUAUGUGUAAGUAACUGUGCACAUCUUGACGGUACCUAAUCAGAAAGCCACGGCUAACUACGUG
rnacentral:rRNA from 1 species